AGUUUGAUCCUGGCUCAGGAUGAACGCUGGCGGCGUGCCUAAUACAUGCAAGUCGAACGAAUCUCUUCGGAGAUGAGUGGCGAACGGGUGAGUAAUACAUAGGUAACCUGCCCCUGUGCGGGGGAUAACAGGAGGAAACUCCUGCUAAUACCGCAUAGCCAUGAGCACCGCAUGGAGCUCAUGCCAAAUAUCCUUUCGGGGAUAGCGCAGGGAUGGACCUAUGGCGCAUUAGCUUGUUGGCGGGGCAACGGCCCACCAAGGCAACGAUGCGUAGCCGGCCUGAGAGGGCGGACGGCCACAUUGGGACUGAGACACGGCCCAGACUCCUACGGGAGGCAGCAGUAGGGAAUUUUCGGCAAUGGGGGAAACCCUGACCGAGCAACGCCGCGUGAGCGAAGAAGGCCUUCGGGUCGUAAAGCUCUGUUGUAAAGGAAGAACGGCGCAUACAGGAAAUGGUAUGCGAGUGACGGUACUUUACCAGAAAGCCACGGCUAACUACGUGCCAGCAGCCGCGGUAAUACGUAGGUGGCGAGCGUUAUCCGGAAUCAUUGGGCGUAAAGAGGGAGCAGGCGGCCGCAAGGGUCUGUGGUGAAAGACCGAAGCUAAACUUCGGUAAGCCAUGGAAACCGGGCGGCUAGAGUGCGGAAGAGGAUCGUGGAAUUCCAUGUGUAGCGGUGAAAUGCGUAGAUAUAUGGAGGAACACCAGUGGCGAAGGCGACGGUCUGGGCCGCAACUGACGCUCAUUCCCGAAAGCGUGGGGAGCAAAUAGGAUUAGAUACCCUAGUAGUCCACGCCGUAAACGGUGGUCACUAAGUGUCGGGGGUCAAACCCCGGUGCUGCAGUCAACGCAAUAAGUGACCCGCCUGAGUAGUACGUUCGCAAGAAUGAAACUCAAAGGAAUUGACGGAAG
rnacentral:rRNA from 1 species